rnacentral:rRNA from 1 species
GACGAACGCUGGCGGCGUGCCUAAUACAUGCAAGUCGAACGCAGUGGGGACGGGUGAGUAACAAGUGGGUAACCUCCCAUCAGAGGGGAUAACACUUGGAAACAGGUGCUAAACCGAUACUGAUGGAUGGACCCGCGGUGCAUUAGCUAGUUGGUGAGGUAACGGCACACCAAGGCCACGAUGCAGAGCCGAACUGUGAUGGGGGUCGGCCACACUGGGACUGUGGCAGUGCCCAGACUCCUACGUGAGGCAGCAGUAGGGAAUCUUCGGCAAUGGUCGAAAGUCUGACCGAGCAACGCCGCGUGAGUGAAGAAGGUUUUCGGAUCGUAAACCUCUGUUGUUAGAGAAGCGGUAUCUAACCAGAAAGCCACGGCUAACUACGUGCCAGCCGCCGCGGUAAUUC